AGAGGCGCGCAGCGAAGCGCUCGCCUUUUUUAUGUGAGGCGACAAUAUAUCUGACACUUCAUCAAUUAGGGUGGUGGACCGGCUUGAACUUGCUACCCCAUUUCCCUUGUGCGUUGAACUUGAAGAACUCGCUCUAAGUCCAUAGAUGUUCUCCUCAACUCCAACAGCCAUAUAAACGGUACCCCAAUCAAGAUCAUCUCCUUCAACACUUGUUCAUCUUCGUGAUUUUGGGGGGCUCCAGUUAACCAUUCAUUUGCCUCAUCAAUAUUGUCCAACAAAAUUGGAUCAAUAGUAUCGCGAGCUUCAUAACGUCGCCUGAAUGUUCUAUUGUAUUUAAUAUACACUAGAUCAUUGAGACGCGAUAGCUCAAGCCUAUUAUAGCAUAAUUCCAAGCUAUAUCACUUCGUUUACUAUUAUUGGAUGACGUCAUUUCAAUUUUCAGCGCUGUUUUAAAGAAAAAUAGAGCAAUAAAUCAAAUAAAUUUAAGCAACUUAGCAGAAUUGCAGAUUAAUUUUUCUUGUUUUAUCUGUGC
rnacentral:lncRNA from 1 species